ensembl:lncRNA
ACUUUACAAUAUUGUGGUGGUUUUUGCCAUACAUUCACAUGAAUCAGCCAUGGGUGUACAUGUGUUCUUCCUAUCAGAAAGUCAUUUUACAGUAUUAAAACAGAAAAAAAAUAAUGGCACCUGAGAUAAUUCGUCCCACAACCACUCCCUAGUUUCCAUUAAGAUUCUGAAGUUAUUUAUUUUGCUCUCCAUUGGCACUAAUUUGGCAACCUUACUCUCUCCAUCUACUCAAUGUGCGAUCUCUGUGAGCAGUAAUUCAACAUACUUGCACUGACCAGAAAUAUGUGACUUUGCUGUGUGUUAAAAAUAGAUUCCCCUUGUGAGCACUUGUGACUUGUCUAGUUUACUCUAGUUUCCGACUCCUGACAUGUCUUGGAACAUUACCUCUGUCCUUCAUUGGAUUACAGGACCUAUUGAGAAAGUCAGCGGUCACGGGCGUGUACAUGACACAGGCACUUUGAACUCUGGAGCAACGGAUACUCCUGCAAGCUCCUGCUCCCCCAAACGAGAAUCCAGUCCAGAGGCGCAGUGGUCUGAGACCCGCACUGCCUGUGCUGAGAGCAGAGGUGGAGAGAAGGAGAAAAAAGGCUGGGCAUAACUGAGGUAAAAGGGGAGUGGAAGAGAGAGGAUGUGAAAGAGAUCACAAUCAAGGGAGAGAAAAAGGUGUGUGGAAACAGAUAUGAGUUCAGUGUUCCUCUUUGGGGGAAAAUAAGGAAAUCGAUUUAAAAAAAAGAAAAGAAAAAAUUUUCACUAGACCU